CUAACUAUGACAUAUUGUUGAUAAAGGUGAAAAAGAAGCAAUUAUGGCAUGUUAUUUUUGCUUUAGUUAAAGCUUUUAUCAAUCAAUUUCCAACAUUAUUAGCGGCAGAUUUGCUUAAAGAUAAAAAAAAUUCAUCACAAGCAACUCCAGACAAUGACUAAGCAAAAGAAAAAAUGGUCGUUUUCCCAAUGAAUUAAUAUAUUUUGUUGGAGGCCAUGAAUAUGGG
rnacentral:lncRNA from 1 species